rnacentral:tRNA from 1 species
GGCCUUGUAGCUCAGCUGGUAGAGCAUAUGCUAUACAAAAGAGUAUGCUGCAUCAAUGCGUGGUUUCGAAUCCCACCGAGGCUG